rnacentral:rRNA from 1 species
GGCUGAAAUUACGCCUACCAUGAAGUUGGAAUUGCUAGUAAUGGCAGGUCAGCAUACUGCCGUGAAUACGUUCCCGGGCCCUUGUACACACCGCCCGUCACACCAUGAGAGUUGGGAGUACCCGAAGCCUGUGAGCUAACAUUUAUGAGGCAGCAGUCGAAGGUAGAAUCAAUGAUUGGGGUGAAGUCGUAACAAGGUAAC